UACGAAGGGGGCUAGCGUUGCUCGGAAUUACUGGGCGUAAAGCGCACGUAGGCGGCUUUCUAAGUCGGGGGUGAAAUCCUGGAGCUCAACCCCAGAACUGCCUUCGAUACUGGAAAGCUCGAGUCCGGGAGAGGUGAGUGGAACUGCGAGUGUAGAGGUGAAAUUCGUAGAUAUUCGCAAGAACACCAGUGGCGAAGGCGGCUCACUGGCCCGGUACUGACGCUGAGGUGCGAAAGCGUGGGGAGCAAACAGG
rnacentral:rRNA from 1 species